GCAUAUCAAUAAGCGGAGGAAAAGAAACCAACAGGGAUUGCCCUAGUAACGGCGAGUGAAGCGGCAACAGCUCAAAUUUGAAAUCUGGCUCUCUUUGGGGGUCCGAGUUGUAAUUUGCAGAGGAUGCUUUGGCAUUGGCGGCGUUCUAAGUUCCUUGGAACAGGACAUCACAGAGGGUGAGAAUCCCGUACGUGGUCGCCUGCCUUUGCCGUGUAAAGCUCCUUCGACGAGUCGAGUUGUUUGGGAAUGCAGCUCUAAAUGGGAGGUAAAUUUCUUCUAAAGCUAAAUACCGGCCAGAGACCGAUAGCGCACAAGUAGAGUGAUCGAAAGAUGAAAAGUACUUUGGAAAGAGAGUCAAAAAGCACGUGAAAUUGUUGAAAGGGAAGCGCUUGCAGCCAGACUUGCCCGCAGUUGCUCACCUAGGCUUUGGCCUGGGGCACUCUUCUGCGGGCAGGCCAGCAUCAGUUUGGGCGGUUGGAUAAAGGCCUCUGUCACGUAUCUCCCUCCGGGGUGACCUUAUAGGGGAGGCGUAAUGCAACCAGCCCGGACUGAGGUCCGCGCAUCUGCUAGGAUGCUGGCGUAAUGGCUGUAAGCGGCCCGUCUUGAAACACGGACCAAGGAGUCUAACAUCUAUGCGAGUGUUUGGGUGUCAAGCCCGGGCGCGCAAUGAAAGUGAACGGAGGUGGGAACCCUUUGGGUGCACCAUCGACCGAUCCUGAUGUCUUCGGAUGGAUUUGAGUAAGAGCAUAGCUGUUGGGACCCGAAAGAUGGUGAACUAUGCUUGAAUAGGGUGAAGCCAGAGGAAACUCUGGUGGAGGCUCGCAGCGGUUCUGACGUGCAAAUCGAUCGUCAAAUUUGGGCAUAGGGGCGAAAGACUAAUCGAACCAUCUAGUAGCUGGUUCCUGCCGAAGUU
rnacentral:rRNA from 1 species